GAUGAACGCUAGCUACAGGCUUAACACAUGCAAGUCGAGGGGAAACGGCAUCGUAAGCUUGCUUUUGAUGGGCGUCGACCGGCGCAAGGGUGAGUAACGCGUAUCCAACCUGCCCAUCACUUGGGAAUAACUUUGCGAAAGUAAGACUAAUGCCCAAUGACAUCGCACGAAGGCAUCCGAAUGGUCUUUAAGGUAUAUCGGUGCUGCAUGGGGAUGCGUCUGAUUAGCUUGUUGGCGGGGAGACGGCCCACCAAGGCCACGAUCAGUAGGGGUUCUGAGAGGAAGGGCCCCCGCGUGGGAACGGAGACACUGGCCAAACUCCUACGGGAAGCAGCAGUGAGGAGGAUGCGGCAAUGAGCGAGAGACUGAGCCAGCCAAGUAGCGUGCAGGAUGACGGCCCUAUGAGUUGUGAACUGCGUUUAUAAGGGAAUAAAGUGGGGGACGUGUGACUUUGUGCAGGUACCUUAUGAAGAAGGACCGGCUAAUUCCGUG
rnacentral:rRNA from 1 species